GUCCGGGUGUUGAAACUGGUAGACAUUAUGCCUUGAGGUGGCAUAGCCCGCAAGGGCGUGGAGGUUCGAAUCCUCUCCCGGACACCA
rnacentral:tRNA from 2 species